rnacentral:rRNA from 1 species
GGGUCAGUAGGUUGGUCGUGCCACCGGUACGUACUGGUCUCACUGAUUCCUCCUUCCUGAAGAACCGUAAUGCCAUUAAUUUGGUGUUGCGGGGAAACAGGACUUUUACUUUGAAAAAAUUAGAGUGGUUAAAGCAAGCUAACGCUUGAAUACAUUAGCAUGGAAUAAUGAAAUAGGACGAUCGAUCCUAUUUUGUUGGUUUCUAGGAUUGACGUA